UAUUAUUUGCAGCGACAGUGAUGCCAUUUUAACCAAGCAAAACACCUGAUCACAAAAAUAAAAAACCUCAUUUCUCAACACAACAACAUAAUUAUAAUUAUGUGCAUACCUGGACACGCUGGAAUUCAAAGAAACCGAAUGGCUGACAAACGAGCGAAAGAAGCAAGCAAAGAACCUGUGCAUAUACCGAAAUGGCGCCCGCGAGUGUGGACAUCGUACAGGACCUCCUUUUUACGUGUCAUUUCAAGAUUUCAUUUAACGGAUUAUAAUCCGGGUCCGUUCCGAUUACUUAGACCCGGCUGUCGUAGGAACGGUUCUCAAUCUGCAUCCAGUCGAUAAUUCCCACAAUAGCCGAUACUACGAUUUCCGAAAUGACCCGGAUUAUAUGAUUUGUAAUUCAUUUACAGAUUUUUAAAUAAAACUAUAUCAAAAAAGAUGAUAUUUCCGGGUAAAUUGCCAGAGUAUGAAAUGUUCGUUUAAACUGGAACUGAGCCCUUCUAUACUUAAUAGAUAAUACAAAACAUUAUCUACCAUUGCAUAUAAAUUAAUCCCUUACACAAUGUU
rnacentral:lncRNA from 1 species